GUGGAAUUCCCUUUUGGACUGAAUUGAAUAUUUGAAUGAGAAAAGCACCACAACAAUAGAAUGCAUAUGAUAAAAGUGAAUACAUGUGAUUUAGAGUUGAGAAUAUCUAUCUGUCCAGGACAGAAAGGGGAAAGAACCACAACUAAAAGUACCUUCAAGAUAACUCUCUCUCUCUCACACACACACCUCCUUCUCUUUCUAUUUUAGUGCCUUCCAUAGAAAUGAAGUCAACCCAGAUAAUUUUGAUCAUUUCAAAUCAUGGCAUGAAUCAUGGCAGACCAGGAAAAGACAAUGAUUUACUACUUUGAAGGGCAAGCAUGUGUGUGAUUAAAGAAUAUAAGUGCAGGACUCCAAGAUUUACUUCCUUCCUGCUCUGUCCAGCAGGGAUACCUGAGGAGAGCAAAAUCCAUCUACUGAAGAAAACAACUGCAUUGCUCUCUCCAGAAGAAAAUGUGCCUUUGAUAUUAAAGUGUUAUGAAGGAGUACAAACGAGAGAGGAGAUCUGGCAAAUGGCACUAGCCGUGAUAAAGAAGGAAUACUACAUUUUCCUAGAGAGCAUUUACUUCCAUGAACAGGAUGUGAAACUGGCUUUCAUUUGCAAGGAUACAAUCUGCCACUUUCAUUUUGUAUCAUCAUCACCCACCAAAAGGCAAUCCUUUUCCAAGGACAAGAGUAAAAAGAAGCAGAAGAAAGGCCUGAAAGGAAUAAAAUGA
rnacentral:lncRNA from 1 species